rnacentral:ncRNA from 1 species
CGUAAACUUUAGGAGUAGCUAAUUAUAAAUUAGUUUGAGAAAUAUCCUUAGAACCUGAUUUGGUUAACACCAACGGAGGGAAAAGUUUCAGUAACUUA